rnacentral:rRNA from 1 species
UACGUAGGGGGCAAGCGUUGUCCGGAUUUACUGGGCGUAAAGCGUGCGCAGGCGGCGCGUUAAGACAGGUGUGAAAGCCCCGAGCUUAACUUGGGAAUUGCGCUUGUGACUGGCGUGCUGGAGUGUGGCAGAGGGAGGUGGAAUUCCACGUGUAGCAGUGAAAUGCGUAGAGAUGUGGAGGAACACCGAUGGCGAAGGCAGCCUCCUGGGCCAGCACUGACGCUCAUGCACGAAAGCGUGGGGAGCAAACAGG